CUAUCACACCAAUAGUAUCGUUUCUACUCCUUUUAAAAGGACCCAAACAUUUCUCUUUCUUUUUUUGUUAUCAGAGUGUAGUGUGUGGUUCCAGUGAGAUUGAGUUCCAACGAGUUUCAUCCUCUUCAUAAUUCAUCAGAUCCACAGCUCCAUCUUCCAGCCAUGUCUUCAGUACACAGUAGUACUUUGAUGUCUGUCGUAUGCAACAGCAACAACAACAACAAGAACCACUCCGCCUGGCCAAAACUUCCAAACUCCUCCUUACUACCUGGAUUCGAUGUGGUUGUCCAAACCGCUGGCGUUCGGUUCAAGAAAGACACAACAGCCACACGUGCCACGCUGACGUUUGAUCCACCAACGACAAACUCAGAGAGAGCCAAGCAGAGAAAACACACCGUCGACCCUUCUUCUCCUGAUUUUCAACCAAUCCCAUCUUUCGAAGAAUGCUUCCCUAAGAGCACUAAAGAACACAUGGAGGUUGUUCAUGAGGAAUCUGGUCAUGUCCUCAAAGUUCCUUUCAGACGUGUUCUUCUGUCUGGUGGUGAGCCAGCUUUUGAUAACUACGACACUAGCGGCCCUCAAAAUGUCAACCCACAAAUUGGGCUUGCUAAGCUAAGGAAGGAGUGGAUCGACCGUCGCGAGAAGCAAGGAGCACCAAGGUACACUCAAAUGUACUACGCAAAGCAAGGGAUCAUAACCGAGGAGAUGCUCUACUGCGCCACCAGAGAGAAGCUCGACCCCGAGUUCGUGAGAUCAGAAGUUGCGCGUGGUAGAGCCAUCAUCCCUUCCAACAAGAAGCACCUGGAGCUCGAACCGAUGAUAGUCGGUCGAAAGUUCUUGGUCAAAGUCAACGCCAACAUCGGAAACUCGGCCGUUGCGAGCUCCAUCGAAGAAGAAGUCUACAAGGUUCAGUGGGCGACCAUGUGGGGAGCUGACACGAUCAUGGACCUCUCCACAGGUCGUCACAUCCACGAGACGCGCGAGUGGAUCCUGAGGAACUCGGCUGUCCCCGUCGGCACCGUCCCCAUCUACCAAGCCCUUGAGAAAGUUGACGGUAUUGCUGAGAAUCUUACGUGGGAAGUGUUCAGAGAGACUCUCAUCGAACAGGCCGAGCAAGGUGUGGAUUACUUCACUAUCCACGCUGGUGUUCUUCUGCGUUACAUUCCUCUAACGGCCAAGCGUAUGACUGGAAUCGUUUCUCGUGGAGGAUCAAUCCAUGCCAAGUGGUGCUUAGCUUACCACAAGGAGAACUUUGCGUACGAGCACUGGGAUGAUAUUCUUGACAUAUGUAACCAGUAUGACGUGGCUCUUUCCAUUGGGGAUGGUCUGAGACCUGGCUCCAUCUAUGAUGCUAACGACACUGCUCAGUUUGCUGAGCUUCUUACUCAAGGUGAACUAACACGCCGAGCAUGGGAGAAAGAUGUGCAGGUGAUGAACGAAGGGCCAGGGCAUGUGCCGAUGAACAAGAUCCCGGAGAAUAUGCAGAAGCAGCUUGAAUGGUGUAACGAGGCGCCGUUCUACACGCUUGGUCCUUUGACUACCGAUAUAGCUCCUGGGUAUGAUCACAUCACCUCUGCCAUUGGAGCUGCCAAUAUCGGAGCCUUGGGCACAGCUCUUCUCUGCUAUGUAACGCCUAAAGAGCAUCUCGGGUUACCGAACAGAGACGAUGUGAAGGCUGGGGUUAUAGCUUACAAGAUAGCCGCACAUGCAGCUGAUCUAGCCAAGCAGCAUCCGCAUGCGCAGGCGUGGGACGAUGCGCUGAGCAAGGCCCGGUUUGAGUUUAGGUGGAUGGAUCAGUUUGCUCUGUCGUUGGACCCUAUGACCGCGAUGUCGUUCCAUGAUGAGACGCUUCCGGCUGAUGGAGCCAAGGUUGCGCACUUCUGCUCCAUGUGUGGACCAAAAUUCUGCUCCAUGAAGAUAACUGAAGACAUCAGGAAGUAUGCGGAGGAGAAUGGUUAUGGCACUGCUGAGGAAGCGCUCAGAAAAGGGAUGGAGGCUAUGAGCCAAGAGUUCAAUGUUGCGAAGAAAACCAUCAGCGGAGAGCAGCACGGUGAAGUUGGUGGUGAAAUCUACUUGCCAGAGAGCUAUGUCAAGGCUGCUAAGAAGUAAAAAGGGAAAGGGUGGAAACAAGACCUCGCUUACAGGUGCCUGUUGGAUUAUACCUGAAUAAGGCACAAAAUGUUGGGGUGCUUGAACCAGGCUAGCCUGCUAAAGAGCGGGACUAGUCUGGGAACAGGCUGAGAAAGUCCCUUUGAACCUGAACAGGGUAAUGCCUGCGCAGGGAGUGUGCAGUUUUCCUUUUUUCUUUUCUAUAGGAGAUGAAGCUUCCUGCUGUUGACGAUGCUCUGAGUCUUGGUCCAUGGUUUCCCCACAGUUUGAUUCUCAUGAGCUAAGAGUUUCAGCUUAAUUGACAUAUUAUCCAUGAAGCAACUGAUACACUUAAGUCACUAACGUUAAAGAAUGGUUCAAUCUAAAUAUCAUUCAGAUUGGUAAAAAGAUUUUGCGUCUUGGGACAUAAGCCAAAAUCAUUCUGGUCUGAUGAAAUUGUUUUCCAACUCCACAAAACAAACAAUAUGGCUCCUCUUUAUGAUCAUGUUUACUAAAUUCAUUCAGUUUCUUACUAUCACCUUGAGGAUUUGUCCUCACAGAUUCAUUCAGUUUCUUGCUCGACCAGAACAAGCAGAUGUCGGGAAAGUGGAGCUCAACCUCACUUUCAUGAACAUGAUCCACUUCCUCUGCUCCUUCGUAACACAAAUUUGAAAAAAAAAAAUGUGUUCCAUAUCAAUAAGUAAAAAAAACUGUUAUAUUGCAGUAGAAAAUUAGUAAAACGAACAUACAAAAUGCCACAAGAACCUUUUUGGAGUCAGGAGGAGUAGGUUACCUUUUUUUUUUGUUCACCGAGGAGUAGGUUACCGUUUCUAUUAUUUUUCAUUAUGCUUUUCUAGGAGAUUGCUAAAGCCUCACCAACCAGCUGAUGUAUAUGACUCAUAUGACUGUCUUUGGUUAAUGUUUCUGUAAAGAAGUAAAUGAACCAUUUUCUAUCUA